rnacentral:siRNA from 1 species
UUAACGGUGUAGCAAUAAGUUG